rnacentral:lncRNA from 10 species
GGAAAGACCUUCUACCCAUUACUGCACUUAAUUCUGGGCAGCACUGUAGGACUGGACAUUUGGCUGAAGUCACAAAACAGACACAAACAGAAUGAAGCCAGUGGUGACGACUGAGAAGCUGACCCGCCUCUGGCAUUUGUCCGUAUCCACACUAGAGAUGGAACUCCCAGGUGACUUUUGGGCCUGCCAGUUUCCCAUGCACAGGGCCACUGAAUCCGGCUGAGAGAAGAGAGCGAGAUUGAGACCAAAGUGAAGGUAUCCAUUCUCAUUACUUGAAUUCAACAUACUACCGAAGGCUCCAGCCACUGUAGCAAGAUGGUUAAGGAAAAGAGUGGCCAAGCCUGAGCUGAAAACAGGCCUGAACUCACACUGGAAGCUGCCCUCCACAGUACCCUUGAUCACAUUUAUCACUCGUUGUCUCCUGCAUUCUUCAACCCACAUGCCAAAGGACAGAAGGAGACCCCGAUAGACGCCUUCUUGGAAUCCUGUUUGCCAUGUAUCCCUGAUUUGCCAGCUGGACAACAAAGGAAAUCAGGCUUGUUGGCAUAGCUCCUUAUUCUUUGUAAACCUCUGGUGACUUGAGUGAUCACUGUCUCCUUUCUAAGCACUUGCACAGCAUCCUUGGAUUCUUGCCUAAGUUCUGCAGCAGGAUUUCAUGUCUGUAGUCAAACUGGACACUCACUUCCCACGUUCCUGCUCUUGGUGUCAUCUUUCUAGUCUCCUCCCCUGUCUACAGGCAGUCAUGAUGACCCACAGUGGAGCAGUGGUCCUGGCCACCCAUUCGUUCAACAAGUGUAGACAGUUUAUCUAUUUGGGUAUAUAAUUUAUUUUGGCCAAGAGGCUCAAACUACUAUUGAGAAAAGUUAGAAGCAAAUCACAUUUUUCUUAUGGUCUUGUUGGGCUUAAAUUUCCUCUUAACAAUAUUUGUUUUGCCCGUUCUGUCCAAAAUGAUUUAGUUUGAUGGGGAAGACUGAAUUAACAUAAAAAUUGAGUUUUGGUUUCUGUUUAUCAUUCAUCAGCCUUUCCCUCACUGACCUCUGGCAGGAGAUCUAUCUUUUCAGUUCCCUUUGAUUCUAUGAGGACAGCGUAUGAUAGUUUAAGUGGGUAAGAACAUGGCUUUGAAGUGUGCACCUGGACUAGAUGACCGCUGCCCUGGAGCGGGGGACCAGGCUUUUCCAGGUUUCUAUCUUCUGCCCUAAAAAGUGUGGCUUAUGAUGCUGUCCCAUCAAGUCACUAUAUAAAUUAGAAGAAAUUAGAAGUCUGUCUCUCAUAGGCACUCUCUAAGUGCCAAUUCAUAAGCUGUUUUUUUAUUCAGGUAUUUGUUUAAGUUUACAAGUUUUGUUCCCUUGGUGUUUUCACAUCUUUAACAUGAAUAUUGCAUGCUAUGUCACUCUGUUGCAUGGAUCCUUGCUCACAUCUCAUCUUUCCAUUUGUGGGCAUGCUUUUCCUUAAAUGCAAAGGAUCAAUUAAGACAACAUGAAUACAUAGCAUAGUGUUUAGUUAAAAAAAAAAGUCAGAUACAAAAUAACAAAUUUGUGGGAUUUCAUUUAUAGAAUGUCCAUAAGCAAGCAAAAUGAAGUGUAAUAUUUAGAUGCAUACUUAUGUAUGAGAAUUAUUCAUACCAGCAGGUGAGUGACCCUCACCACUCACAAGUAAGGUCCUUCAGAGGAGAGGGAGGGUGGAGGCCUGGCAGUUUACAGGGGCCUGGGAGUGGUUAGACUCAGGCGGUGAACAUGGUGUGAUGAUGUUAUGGUGACUCAGUAUGCCAUCUAUCCAUAUUGUAUGGAUGUUUGUUUAUUCGUCUUGUGCUUCAAAAUAAUUUGCUUUAAAAAAGGUUACAUAAAGCUAAUUUAAAUAUAUAUAACAUGUGAAGAUGGGAGGAAUAAGCAUAUUUUAUUACAAACUUAGAAAAUGCUCAUUAAGCUCGAUUAGAUUUUACUGUUAUUUUAAAGUAAGAAGGACCAAACAAAUGAUGAGUAUCUUUGCUCUGCCUUGAAGUAAUCUUUAUCAUUGAAGCUGAGGGCUUCUCUUGUGACUUCCGUCUUCAAGCUGGCAAUUCCUGUCUGAUUUCAACGCAGGUGUGCCCCGGUGUCAGGUUGGGGUGUAUUCCUGGAGGCUUCGUAGAUGCUAUGCUGGGGAAACUCCUGUGCCCCCACCACUGUUUUGUGUGUCUUCUCCACUCCACCUCAGGCAGCUCCAGCCCUCCACCCUCCCCUACAAGGCAGCCUCUCAGUCUAGUAAAGCAGUGUUGGGUCGGACGCAAUUGUGGACCAGAAAAAUAAUCCAAUGCACUGCUUUAAACCUGUGACUUUUUUUCCCCAUUCCUCUCAUCUUUGGACUUAAUUUCAUAGGUGAAUAAAAUCCCAUAGAACCCAAUGCAUGUCUACAAUAACGAAGGAAAUGAGUAUGAAUAUUUUUCAAAUAGCACAUUGUAAAGAAUGUACCAGCCAUCCAGCAAAACAAAUUUCUUUUGCAUGUACAGUACAGCUAUGUGCUCAAAGCUUGGAGAAAUACGCUUCCGGUCCUGACAGGAUGCAGUGAACACAUUUAUCUUUGUUCUCCCCCACUAAGUUCACCUAUAAACUGCGGAAGUAACCAAAGGAAAACAGUGGAAGGUAGUAAAAGAAAGGUGAAUCGGCUUGGGAAAAAAGUGGCAGCAGGAUGUCUACAGCUCCUUUAUCAACAGAAGGCAGCCCAGACCCUGGGCUUUACAGCAAACGGCAGCCCACAUGGGCCCAUUCCUCCCUGGAAUGGGAGGGGCUCUCUCACAGCACCACUAACAAGGGUUUCCUUGACCGGCCAGGGAGUGCAGCUCCUUCAUUCCCUCUCCACCCAGAAAUACCGAUAGGAGGAUUUCAUUACAACAAGCCCCGGGCCAGGAAAGCCUCUUCGUUCCGACAAGCCUGAGACUCCCUGCCCCAUGAGGACACACUGGAGUGGGCUGGCAUGACCAACCCGAGGGUCCCGGCCACAGCCAGCAGGCUCUGUGUCUCACAACCCGAGACUCGCCUCCCCUAAUCAAGAGGCACCAGCAGACCCACACAAAUAAGUUGAACUGAGUUUCUAAUAGUCUUAAUUUUUCACAGCAGUUUCAGGUUCACAGGAGAAUUGAGAUGAAGGCACAGAGUUCCCAUAUAUGCCCUGUCUCCUGGCAUGCACAGCCUUCUCCACUAUCAGCCUCACCCACCAGAGUGGAGCAUCUGUUACAAUUGAGGGACCUCCACUGACACAUCAUCAUCACCCGGAGUCCAUUGUUUACAUUAGGGUUCCCUCUCGGUGUUGUAUAUUGGACAAAUGUAUGAUGAUAUAGAUCUGUCAUUACAGUGUCAUAUAGAGUAGUUUUGUUUUAAAAUCCCCUGUGCUUCACCUAUUUAUUCCUCCCUUCCCCCUAACCCCUGGCAACUGCUGAUUUUUUUGCUAGCUCCAGUUUUAACUUUUGCAGAAUGUCGUAUAGCUGGCAUCAUACAGUAUGUAGACUUUCAAGAUUGUCUUAUUUCACUUAGUGUUCCGCAUUUAAGUUUCCUCCGUCUUUUCAUGGCUUGAUAGCUCAUUUCUUUUUAACAUGGAAUGGUAUUUUAUUGUUUGUACCACAGCUUAUGCAUCCAUCCACCUACUGAAGGACAUCUUGGUUGUUUCCAGGUUUGGCAAUUAUGAAUAAACUGUUAUAAACAUCCAUGUGAGGAUUUUUGUGUUAACGUAUUUUUUAACUCCUUUGGGUGAAUAUCAAAGGGUUAGUCCUCGUUUAUUGUUAUUUUUUUUAUUUUUGAGACGGAGUCUCACUCUGUCACCCAGGCUGGAGUGCAGUGGCGUGAUCUUGGCUCGUUGCAGCCUCCACCUCCCAGGUUUAAGCGAUUCUCGUGACUCAGCCUCCCGAGUAGCUGAGAUUACAUGCGCCCACCACCAUGCCUGGCUAAUUUUUGUAUUUUUAGUAGAGACAGGGUUUUGCCGUGUUGGCUAGGCUGAUCUUGAACUCCCAACCUCAGGUGAUCCACCCACCUCAGCCUCCCAAAAUGCUGGGAUUACAGGCAUGAGCCACCACACCUGGCCUAUUCCUGGUUUAUGUGGUAAGAAUAUAUUUAGUUUUGUCUGAAACCGCCGCUCUGUCUUCCACAGUGGCCAUACCAUUUUGAAUUCCUGCCAGAAAUGAAUGAGAGUUCCUGUUGCUCCACAUCCUCACCAGCGUUUGGUGCUGCCAGUGUUCUGACUUUGGGCAUUCUAAUAGGUGCUGUGAUUCUGGAGAGGCAUUUGUCCACUCAGCAUGUAAGGGAGAAGCCAUGCUUUCCUCAGCUGUGCCUGCACUGUAACGGCCCUGUGUCUGUCACUACUGCUGGGGGCACCUGGAAGCGCCCAGACACACAUUUGGGGACCACAGCAAAUCCUCUGUGUCUUGCAUGGCUUCUUUCUUCUUUUCCCCCUUCUUUUUCUUUCUCUAUAGAGCAUCAAGCCAGCUUCUUCCUCACCAGCCUCACCAUCCGAGUUUCUCGUGGGCAGCUUCUCAGUGAACACAGGAAGGCCUAGACCCCACUCUGGGAGCUCUGAGGACCACGGUGUGCACAGGCAGAAGCUUGAUUGUAAAGAGUGUUAACUCUUCAAGGAAAAAAAAUUAAAAAUAUUUUUUAAAGAAAAUGAAGGCCCAGAUGGAAGAGGCCCCCACCUGUAACGCCAAGGUGAGCUCAUCCCCAGGUACCACAAUGACCUGAGGUGCUUGUAAAAGAUGCCGCUCUCUUGGUGCUUGGCUAGGAGCAAGCUAUGGCAUGGAGAACAGGGAUAGACCCACCUGAAAAUCUGGACCUGCUUCUUCGUGGAUGAAGGAAUGUGCACCCAGGAGGCCAGGACCCCUGGUCACCUGCAUGAAAGGUUUGAGGUGGUGCCGCACAUUCCAGAAGGUGAUGUGGUCUCAGAUGAUGCCCAUGGGCACUGUCAGGGUGGGUCCAGGACUGCAGCUGCCUGGGCUGUUUAUUCUGCAGGCAGACAUGCCCUGGGGGCCAGUCUGAAGAGCAGCUCAGAGAAGGUGAUCAAGCUCCAUUUUCAAAAACAAAACAAAAAAGUGAAGACAGACUAACACCCAGUAAACGUGAUGUGAUCAGGGCUGCCACUUCCAGAGCACCCUGAGAGUCAAGACCAAAGAUCACCAGCAGCCUCUGAUUUGAACUUCAGAUUGGAUCUGGAGGCUAAGCAUUCUCAGCCUGCUCUAAAGCUGGACAGGCUUCCUGACACCAGAGCUGGCUGCUGGACCUGAGGAUGCACCACAGGAGGCUGAGCCUCCUCCCACAGCGGGGAGAUGGUGCCCAGGUGAAAGACACGUGUCCUGAGAGAAACCCCUCGGCCCAUCACUCAUCACAGAGGGGCCGGGGAACAGCUCCUACUUUUCUCUCAAGCAGUGAUAACAUGUGAUUUCCCAGGUCAAUCUUGAUUUCAGAAAUGUUAAAAAUAAAUGGGCCUGGAAGACUUGUAAUUUGAGAAUAAGACUUGAAAACAAGUGAAAAGCAGUGAGAACAGAUUUUGGUGCCUCCUAGACUUUUCUCAUUGGCUGCGCACAUUUAGCCUUGAAAGCAUAGCAGUCCUACACCCAUCCAAAAUGAAGGAAACUGUUCUGGAAACAUUUUUACCUUGGUUUCUCCUAAAGCAAGUUGGAUCUCUGUGAUGCUAUCUUGCAUGCUGCUGAAGUCAUUUUCCAGUGGUGUAAUUUUCCUGUUAACUUAAAAAGAGAAGCUCAGCAUUACAUGUCCCUCUGGGCUUCAGACAUCUGUUCCUUCCUCCCAUGUCCAGAAAUAUUAGACAAUUUCUCUCCAGCAUCAAGAGAAACAAAGUGAUGGGAGCUUAUUUCAAUUUUGAGAGAAUCUGAGUUUGUAGGACUAACACAAUGAUCAAUACCAGUUUGACAGUGGAAGGGUGUUAACAUUUAUUUCUUUUUUUUUUUUUAAGGAUUUUAUGAAUCUUUUGUCUCUCAUUUCUUAAGAAUUCUAACUACACUGCUUGAUAUCAUACAAUAAUAAUUUUUCUGAAAACUGAGAACAGAGAUUCUGUUUAGUUAAAACUUCCAAAUCAGUUGUAAAUGUGGGUAUAGUCUGAAUCAUAAUCAAUGCAAUUCAAAGACAGAAGAGAAGGAUGUCAGAGGAUACAGUGGGCAACAGGGAAGACUUCAGGAGACUUCAGGUGGAUCUCCGUAUUUCAUGAACAAAUCCCAGAUUUCCAAGAAAUAGGAAGACGAUUGUCCUGAGGUUUACAGAUCUCUUCCUCCCCCACCUCUCUCUCCUUUUUAAAAAGUAGUUGAAAAAGACUUGAGGUGACUCUAAAUACUUUUAUUUGUUAGCUUACAGUUGUAAAGAAGUUGAACAGCAUUUGUUAAGGUGGCGGGGACUGUACAGGAAGGGAGGGUGUGCAGAAGGACGGUGAUCAUGGGCAGCAGCACCAAGCUCCAGAGGAAAAGAAACAGGCAGAACUGCUUAAAAUCCCUACAAGGAAAAAAAUCAUGCAUAUCUCAGGGUACACAGGACAAGCAUUGUCAUUAGCUCAUUCCGCAACAAAUGUCACUUCUUGUGUGAUUCCAUUUCCAUUGCUCCAUUUUUGUUCAAAGUUGAAAAAAUCUGGUGUCCCUAAGCACGAAAUGGAGUAGGCUUGCAACUCUGUGGAUCUUAUGAUAAUGACACUGGUCCUUCUCCUUCCUUUGACUGUAAAGAACACUGACACAUUAUUAGGAUUUUAUUGGUACCUGUGAGCCUGACGGGACAGCAAAGACAGGGAAGGAGUUCCUGACACACAAGAUAUCACACACACAUGCUCACCGGAAAUUCUUUAAAAGGGGCUUUGAUUUAAACAUUACAAUUGCGAUUUAAAGUGCAAUAACACAGGAAUAUUUUUCUAAGAGACUCAGUUAAGUGUAUGCUAAAUUAAUUGGAUAAAAUAUAAAAUUCUGAGUGCAGGUAUUUAUUUAAAAUUCCCAGUGCUAAAAGUUUUGGGGUGAUAUUGCGAAGACACAGUGAAACAUGGUGUAAUUUCUCUCAGUAAAGGAAUUUGGGUUCCAACCAAAGGAGACAGGAAUGCAUGCAGGCAGUGAUUAGACACUGGGAGGAGAGGCAGCACUCAGUGUGGUCGGAGGCGAAGUGGAGGCAGGCUCAGGGCUGCAAAUGGGACUGCUGGUAUUCUAGAGACAGCUGCUUACUUUCUAGUUCAGCUGUCUAAAAACCUGUCCUGGGCCUGGAAGCAGGGUGCAUCUGGAGUAAAGGCUGCUUUAGAGUUUAGCUCCCACAGCAAGGUGGCAUCAUUGUAGAUCUUGACACAGGUAGCUCCUGGGGCCACUUUUAAGUUCCCUUCUGAUGUGUUGUCCUUUUUGGGACAGGUGAAUAGAGCAAUCAGAAUUGCUGCAAAUGAAGACAUUGCCCCUGAGUUGAAUGAGAGAUCUAUUCACUUCAAUCACUGUCAUUUUCCUUAAUAAUGAAGACACUAAGUUAUGACAAAUGUCUCCAUUACCUACAUCUAUGGGAAAUUAACUGAUAGAGCUUGGUACAAUAAACAGAAAAUUGAUGAGAAAAAAUUGGGGAGAAAAUUUAACAGCCAGGCCCAAAACUGAAGAAAUAUCUCCCACAGACUGUGGUUCUGUUCUGUGCAAAUAUUGUAGACUUUUACAUAUUUUGGUUGAUAAAAUAUGCUGAAUGAGACGCCCUCACAUUUGGGUAAACCAACUACAUUAUACAAAUAAAGUUUUGGAAGUAUCUUUGUGCACUGUGACUAAUAAUAGGAAAAGAAAAAUGGGGGUUGAAAAGAAAUACUCUGAUUUGCCUUGAGAGUUUUUUUGGUGCUUGAAAUAUUUCCUCGAUAUUCUUCAUAAGAUGUUAGAAAAUCUCUAUGUCCAAUUUAAUUAUAUCUUGGUCUUCUUUUUUGGUUCUUGUGAGGAUCUGGGUUUGGAGACCAAAGCACUCCAGGAAGGCAAGCGUGUGAAUGCUUGUGAGCUCACUGUCUUCUUGCUAUCUAUUCCCCAACCUGUUUUAUUAACCAUCAGAUUACAGAAACAGGAAAGCCAAAAAUUCUCCAAGGGGACUCCACUUCCAAUUCCAGUUCUUACUCGUUCUUCGUAGAAUAGGCCUUUGCGGCCUCUUUCCUGACCAGCGUCCUCACCUGGUGCUCAGAACCUCAUGUUGUCCAAAGUAGGACCCUUGACAACAUUUCAAAGACCCGAGUGACUCUGGCUGUUUCUCUGAAAAGCAAUAAUAGAAGCCUUCCAGAAAAUGGCCUUUAAUAACUUGGCAUAAACUCAACUCAAAUAGGGACCUCUCUACCUCUUCACCAGGCUCAAUACUGUUAGGGAAACUUAGCUAGUUCUGAUCCAAAAAAGGAGAUUGCUGAGGACAGUCCCCUUCAGCUGAGCACUUAAAACCCUGCCGUCCAGAGCCGUCCACCAAAAGGCAAAAUGACUGCUCCUCCCUCAACUUCUUCCUUUAGGAUAUUGUGUAUUUUUCUAUCCUUGGUUCUUUCUGGAAUAACCCUGACAAGGUGUUCCACAUUUCAACUAUAAAUUUCAUUUUGGUAUUAUAGACUGAAACUGUUUUUAUUUUAACUGAAAAGUUUAGUGAACUAAUUACAGAUUUUAGCCAUUCUGAUAGGUGACACAUCACUAUGAUUUUCAUUUUCAUUUCUCUGAGAGCUAAUGAGGCUACAUCUUUUUAGAUGUGCUUUUUUUAACCACCUAUAAAUCUGCUUUAGGUAUAUGUGUGUUCAUGUCUUUUACCCAUUGUCUAACUGGAUUGUUUGACUUUUUACCAUUGAGUUUUAAGAAUUUGUUAAAUAUUCUGGAUACUUUUUAUUUGUUGGCUAUGUGCAAAUAUUUUCUCCCAGUCUGUAGCUUAUCAUUUUAUUCCUUUCACAAGGGUUUUUAUAAACAAAAGCUUUAAAUUUUGAUGUGGUCCUACUUAUUAAAUUUUUUUGUUAUGGAUUACGUUGAUUUUCUACCUAGUAGUUUAUCAGUUGCUAAGUGAGGUUUUGAAGUCUCCAACUAGAGUUGUGGAUUUAUCAAUUUCUCCUGUCAGCUCCACAGUUUUUGCUUUACAAGUCUUAAAGUUUU